rnacentral:rRNA from 1 species
UACGUAGGGUGCAAGCGUUAAUCGGAAUUACUGGGCGUAAAGCGUGCGUAGGCGGUGUCUUAAGUUUGUUGUGAAAUCUCCCGGCUUAACCGGGAGGGUGCGGCGAAUACUGAGAUGCUGGAGUGCCGGAGAGGUAAGCGGAAUUCCUGGUGUAGCGGUGAAAUGCGUAGAUAUCAGGAGGAACACCUGCGGUGUAGACGGCUUACUGGACGGUAACUGACGCUGAGGCACGAAAGCGUGGGUAGCAAACAGG